AUUGAACGCUGGCGGCAGGCCUAACACAUGCAAGUCGAGCGGAUGAAGGGAGCUUGCUCCUGGAUUCAGCGGCGGACGGGUGAGUAAUGCCUAGGAAUCUGCCUGGUAGUGGGGGAUAACGUCCGGAAACGGGCGCUAAUACCGCAUACGUCCUGAGGGAGAAAGUGGGGGAUCUUCGGACCUCACGCUAUCAGAUGAGCCUAGGUCGGAUUAGCUAGUUGGUGUGGUAAAGGCCUACCAAGGCGACGAUCCGUAACUGGUCUGAGAGGAUGAUCAGUCACACUGGAACUGAGACACGGUCCAGGCUCCUACGGGAGGCAGCAGUGGGGAAUAUUGGACAAUGGGCGAAAGCCUGAUCCAGCCAUGCCGCGUGUGUGAAGAAGGUCUUCGGAUUGUAAAGCACUUUAAGUUGGGAGGAAGGGCAGUAAGUUAAUACCUUGCUGUUUUGACGUUACCAACAGAAUAAGCACCGGCUAACUUCGUG
rnacentral:rRNA from 1 species